GUUAGCCUCAGGCUGCUGCGCACUGGGGAGGCUGUCCCGCGGCCUGCGCGCUCGGGGAUUCUCCAGACCCACCGCUGGCUCGGGAGCGCUCCCUACUUUUGGGUUCCCCGAAAGCCAUGUGCUUCAUACUUAAGGGUCCCUUAGCUUGGGAAUCGGGGACUUGGUGAACAAAUUCAUGCUUACCCAGCUACACCCGGCAUGAUUUUGAAAAGCCCAUCGUUUUGCCGACCGAUUUGCGGUCUCCAAAUUAAGUAUCUAACACUUUGGUGAUUAACUUGCCCUAAAAGGUUUUUUUUUUUUUUUUUUUCUUUUUUUUUUUUUUGGACAGGCUCUCGCUUUGUCGCCCAGGCUGGGGUGCCGCGGCGGAAUCUCGGCUCACUGCAGCCUCGACCCUCCCGGGCUCAGGUGAUCCUCCCGCCUCAGCUUUCCCAGUAGCUGGGACGAGCGUGGGCAGAGGACCACAGGCGCGGACACCACACCUGUCUAGUUUUUGUAUUUAUUUGUAGAGUCGGGGUUUCACCAUGUUGCCCAGGCUGGAAAAGCCAGUUUCUACAUGGGAAUUUUCGGAUAUUUUGGCCAAGGCCAGCUGUGGGAACCUUGGAGGCAUUGGGGUUCCUUCGACCUGGCUUCCCUGCCUAGUCCAUGUCCUCUUCCUCUUUGUCUCUGGCGCCUCCCAUGAUUGGGCCGCCUCCUGCCUAGACUCAUAGCCAGGCCCUCGGAAUAAUCUGAAAGCUCCUUGCCGUGUAAAGAAACGAUGGAACUACCUCCGCUUCCUGGUCUUUAGGGAAACGCAACUUGCUCAGGAGCAGGGGUUUUCAGACUGCGGCCUGGGACCCCCUUAAGAGCGUGUGAAAUCAACAUAAAGCGUCUUGCCUGGCAUUACAAAGCGGGGGAAGUGGAAGGAAACUAGCAGCCACGUGGCGCGGGCCCCAGCGGUGGUGACCGGGUGUGUGCCUGGUCCUGUGGUAGCUGUUGCGCAGCCUGGGGGCGCGCCCCCGGCCCAGGCUUUCCUACAGCUGCAGCCUGGACUGGCGGGGAGGAAUCCGGAAGCAGGAAGAGCGACAAAGUCUCACUCUUGGUCCCCCAGGCUCGAGGGCAAUGGCACAAUCUCUGCUCACUGCAACCUGCUCACUGCAACCUCUACCUCCUGGGUUCAAGCGAUUCUCCUGCCUUAGCCUCCCGAGUAGCUGGGAUUACAGGCACCCACCACUACGCCCGGCUAAUUUUUGUAUUUUUAGUAGAGACGGGGUUUCACCAUGUUGGCCAGGCUGGUCUCGAACCCGUGACCUCAGGUGAUCCGCCCGCCUCGGCCUCCCAAAGUGCUGGGAUUACAGGCGUGAGCCACGGCGCCCGGCCAGCUCUGACAUUCUUUGUCCUUUGUUUUGGGGACCUUCAUUUACCCCCAUUUCUCCAGUGAACCUGCUCCAAAGCCCCUCCCUGGGUCUGGGCAUCACUGGGAACCACUGUUUCCCGUCAGGCCCCAUCUUUAAUGUCCCUUCUUCCUUCCACAACUUCUUGUCUUUCCAGCUCUCCCCCCUCGGUUAAUAAACAGGACAUUUUUGUCCUGUCUCCAGGUGACAUUCCACAGUUACCCACCAGGUGCGAACUCUGUAAUGGUUUCUACCAUCAACACGCCAGCCCCUGGCUGUUCCUUCUCUCUUCUCAGACUCAUGCCCCUCUCCCUGGCACAUCACGGAGCUCUUGGAGGUGGGUCUUUGCCCCCAGGAAAUCUUGUCCAGCACUCUCACUAAUAGAACUUGUGUGCAGAUGACUCACGGAAGAGCCCGGCCAGGACUCAGCUCCAGACCUGGAUGCUGAGCCUCAUGAGCUUCCCCCCUGUCUCCAGCCCUCUUUGAGGGCUCGUUAGCCAGGUCACUGACUAUCCCACCUUAAAGAACCCCAAGCAUCCCCACAACGGAUCUGGCACUGAGUCCUGCCACUUCUGCCUCCUAAGUACCUCUUGAACCCAGCCACUUCCCUCCACCUUCAUCCCCCGCUUCCACACAACCGUCAGCUCACCUGGAAGGCCUCCAUAACCACCUAACUGCUCCCUGCAUAUGGUCUGGUCUGUCUCCAAACUGUAGCCAGGGUGAGCUUUGAGAACACAGACCUGGCCCUAUCUAUUCCCUCCUCCCCACCCUCUGCAAAUUCUAGCUGACUUCCCAUCCUUCU
rnacentral:lncRNA from 1 species